UAGUAAAAGUGCUUCCAUAAAUACGAUCUGUUGCAUUUCAACUAAAAGAGAUAGUGGCGUUAUGUUUAGCUUUCAAUCGAAUUUCUUCUACACUGCCUACAUUUUUUUUGUAUGCCAGCAUGAUGUCCAAGAAGCACUUGGCGUGGCAGAGCUGCAAGACGACCAUGCAGAGUAGCAAUCAGUGUAACUUGAGUUGCCAAGCUGCCACCACCACACAGCACAGUGAUGUGCGGGAAGCUGAGUCGCAGAUGUGUGAUGUUUAUGUUCAAACAAUUCCUCACGCACAGAAGUCAAAGGCUUAUAUAGACAUGCAUCAAGAACCCAUCUGUUGGGGCCCAGGCCAGCCCAUUAUCUGUUUGUGACAGCUGUGUUCAAACUGAAGGCAGGCUGGUAUACAGUGAAGAGGUACCGUCAGAGUUGAGGCCGUUCUGCUCUACGCCGAGACAUGAUGUUGAUGCACCAGGUCUCAAUCUAUACAGGGACUACACAAAUGACACAUCAUACGUCUGUGAUGAGCUGAACGAUGAUGACAGUAACCCUGAG